rnacentral:rRNA from 1 species
CCUACGGGAGGCUGCAGUGGGGAAUAUUGGGCAAUGGGCGCAAGCCUGACCCAGCAACGCCGCGUGAAGGAUGAAGGUUUUCGGAUUGUAAACUUCUGUCGCGAGGGACGAAGAAUGACGGUACCUCGUAAGAAAGCCCCGGCUAACUACGUGCCAGCAGCCGCGGUAAUACGUAGGGGGCAAGCGUUGUCCGGAAUGACUGGGCGUAAAGGGAGUGUAGGCGGUGAUGCAAGUCUGGAGUGAAAGGCGGGGGCCCAACCCCCGGACUGCUCUGGAAACUGUGUAACUUGAGUGCAGGAGAGGUAAGCGGAAUUCCUAGUGUAGCGGUGAAAUGCGUAGAUAUUAGGAGGAACACCAGUGGCGAAGGCGGCUUACUGGACUGUAACUGACGUUGAGGCUCGAAAGCGUGGGGAGCAAACAGGAUUAGAUACCCCAGUAGUC